rnacentral:rRNA from 1 species
CAGUCGCCGCGGUAAUGCGUAGGUGGCAAGCGUUGUCCGGAAUUAUUGGGCGUAAAGCGCGCGCAGGCGGUUUCUUAAGUCUGAUGUGAAAGCCCCCGGCUUAACCGGGGAGGGUCAUUGGAAACUGGGAGACUUAGAGUGCAGAAGAGGAGAGUGGAAUUCCAUGUGUAGCGGUGAAAUGCGUAGAUAUAUGGAGGAACACCAGUGGCGAAGGCGACUCUCUGGUCUGUAACUGACGCUGAGGCGCGAAAGCGUGGGGAGCAAACAGGAUUAGAUACCCCCGUAGUCCCUGUCUCUUAUA